rnacentral:misc_RNA from 1 species
GUAAGUUUAUAACCAAUAAUCAACUGAAUAUUUCACUUUUGGUUAUGUUCAGCUUUCUCUUGUAUUUCAGUUUGGUCAAACCAAAUGCUCACUCCUUGCAUAUCAGUCACAGGGAAGGUGAUGUGGAAUACCCUAAUGGAUGUUAAAAUUGUUCGAAAAUAACAUCGUCAUAAGGCAGAAAGCAAGACCUACAAAUUCCAUUUACACCUAAUGCUUACUAUUAAUUUUGCAGAUAAUAAUAAUAAAUGGUGCAAGUAAAUUGUUGAAAUGUUAAAAGCAAUAAAAUGAGAACAAUGGUCAAAAGACAGAGGAUAAUGCAUGGAAUAGAACUUUUCAAGAAUGACUCAAAUCCAGGACAAGCUUUAACAGAGCUACAUGACAUCAAUGCCAUUGCCAUUGUCAUCCUUACUAAAAUAUCGUCACUGACACAGCCAUCACAAAGAUCAGCAAUCCACGACAGCGCUAUAGUCAUCAGCACUACUGCUACUGCCUUGUGAUAAUUACCACAACCAUAACCAGAAAAACACUUGCACUACAUGACAGGAACAAAUCAGCACCACCAUCAUCAACUCAACUCAACUCAAC